rnacentral:rRNA from 1 species
AACGAACGCUGGCGGCAGGCUUAACACAUGCAAGUCGAACGCAUCCUUCGGGGUGAGUGGCAGACGGGUGAGUAACGCGUGGGAACGUGCCCUUCAGUUCGGGAUAACCCAGGGAAACUUGGGCUAAUACCGGAUACGUGCGAGGGCAGAAAGAUUAUAUCGCUGAAGGAUCGGCCCGCGUCUGAUUAGCUAGUUGGUGGGGUAAUGGCCCACCAAGGCGGCGAUCAGUAGCUGGUCUGAGAGGAUGAUCAGCCACAUUGGGACUGAGACACGGCCCAAACUCCUACGGGAGGCAGCAGUGGGGAAUAUUGGACAAUGGGCGCAAGCCUGAUCCAGCCAUGCCGCGUGAGUGAUGAAGGCCUUAGGGUUGUAAAGCUCUUUCGUCCGGGACGAUAAUGACGGUACCGGAAGAAGAAGCCCCGGCUAACUUCGUGCCAGCAGCCGCCGUAA